rnacentral:rRNA from 1 species
GUGGGGAAUUUUGGACAAUGGGCGCAAGCCUGAUCCAGCAAUGCCGCGUGCAGGAAGAAGGCCUUCGGGUUGUAAACUGCUUUUGUACGGAACGAAACGGUCCUGGUUAAUACCUGGGGCUAAUGACGGUACCGUAAGAAUAAGCACCGGCUAACUACGUGCCAGCAGCCGCGGUAAUACGUAGGGUGCGAGCGUUAAUCGGAAUUACUGGGCGUAAAGCGUGCGCAGGCGGUGCUGUAAGACAGGCGUGAAAUCCCCGGGCUCAACCUGGGAAUUGCGCUGGUGACUGCAGUGCUGGAGUACGGCAGAGGGGGAUGGAAUUCCGCGUGUAGCAGUGAAAUGCGUAGAUAUGCGGAGGAACACCGAUGGCGAAGGCAAUCCCCUGGGCCUGCACUGACGCUCAUGCACGAAAGCGUGGGGAGCAAACAGGAUUAGAAACCCCGGUAGUCC